AGGGAAUCUUCCGCAAUGGACGAAAGUCUGACGGAGCAACGCCGCGUGAGUGAUGAAGGUUUUCGGAUCGUAAAGCUCUGUUGCCAGGGAAGAACGUCCGUUAGAGUAACUGCUAACGGAGUGACGGUACCUGAGAAGAAAGCCCCGGCUAACUACGUGCCAGCAGCCGCGGUAAUACGUAGGGGGCGAGCGUUGUCCGGAAUUAUUGGGCGUAAAGCGCGCGCAGGCGGCUGUUAAGUCUGGUGGUUAAUCCUGGGGCUCAACCGCGGGUCGCACUGGAAACUGGACAGCUUGAGUGCAGAAGAGGAGAGUGGAAUUCCACGUGUAGCGGUGAAAUGCGUAGAGAUGGGGAGGAACACCAGUGGCGAAGGCGACUCUCUGGGCUGUAACUGACGCUGAGGCGCGAAAGCGUGGGGAGCAAAC
rnacentral:rRNA from 1 species